UCUGGAGGUGGGUUUUUAACAAGCAAGAGGGGGUCACCAUCAGCAAACUGCAUCCAUCGUAGCACAUAGCUUUUAUAAAAGCCCUAGAUGAUCAUUUUCCUGAAGAAUCGCCUUGAUGAAGAAGUCAGAGCCUCUUUCUCUGCACCACGGUAGGUUCAGGGUGGAUAUUAGGUGUGUGGGAACUGUUAGGUCAUAGUCUGAACCAGCAAUUGAGCACCUGCUGAAGGCAUGUGGCCAGCCCUGGGAGCACAGGUGGAAGCAAUUCACCUGUGUGAUUGGAAGGAGUGCACCCUGGGUCCACCCCUCCCUAAACUUAUUUAAGGACUGGAAGGAGAGCAUCUCUGCUUGGAAAUCGCCUUUUUGAGAGUUUUCAGCAAGCCCUGAUCCUUGGAAAGGGCAAUAUUGUCCUUGCUGGCAGGGAGAAUGGAAGAUAAAGUUGGAGACACUCGUAACAAAACUUAAAGUAGGUGUCCCCAGCCUGCAAGAGACUUUCCAGGUUUAUUCCAGGAGGAACCAUUUGCCACCCGAGGAAUGCCUCUCUGGGGGUGACUGGGAGCAUGCUGGAGCCACAGCCCUUGGGGGG